rnacentral:rRNA from 1 species
UCUGCAACUCGACUGCACGAAGUCGGAAUUGCUAGUAAUCGCGGAUCAGAAUGCCGCGGUGAAUACGUUCCCGGGUCUUGUACACACCGCCCGUCACACCAUGGGAGUCGGAAAUGCCCGAAGUCUGUGACCCAACCGCGAGGAGGGAGCAGCCGAAGGCAGGUCGGAUGACUGGGGUGAAGUCGUAACAAGGUACC